UACGUAGGUGGCGAGCGUUGUCCGGAAUUAUUGGGCGUAAAGGAUGCGUAGGUGGAUAUUUAAGUGGGAUGUGAAAUCCCCGGGCUCAACCCGGGAACUGCAUUCCAUACUGGAUGUCUAGAGUGCAGGAGAGGAAAGCGGAAUUCCUAGUGUAGCGGUGAAAUGCGUAGAUAUUAGGAGGAACACCAGUGGCGAAGGCGGCUUUCUGGACUGUAACUGACACUGAGGCAUGAAAGCGUGGGUAGCAAACAGG
rnacentral:rRNA from 3 species